UUACGGCCAUAACAAGCUGAAACACUGGCUCCCGUACGAUCACCGAAGUUAAGCAAUGUCGAGCCUGGUCCGUACCUAGAUGGGUGACCGCUUGGGAAAACCAAGUUGUG